GGUUCCACAGAGUAGUGGUUAGCAUGUCUGCUUUACACGCAGAAGGUCCUGGGUUCGAGCCCCAGCGGAGCCA
rfam:Pteropus alecto contig61088, whole genome shotgun sequence.